rnacentral:rRNA from 1 species
GAUGAACGCUGGCGGCGUGCUUAACACAUGCAAGUCGAACGAUGAAAGCGGGAGCUUGCUCCUGCUGGAUUAGUGGCGAACGGGUGAGUAACACGUGAGCAAUCUGCCCCGAACUCUGGGAUAAGCGUUGGAAACGACGUCUAAUACCGGAUACGACGCGCGAAGGCAUCUUCUGCGCGUGGAAAGAAUUUCGGUUCGGGAUGAGCUCGCGGCCUAUCAGCUAGUUGGUGAGGUAACGGCUCACCAAGGCGACGACGGGUAGCCGGCCUGAGAGGGUGACCGGCCACACUGGGACUGAGACACGGCCCAGACUCCUACGGGAGGCAGCAGUGGGGAAUAUUGCACAAUGGGCGCAAGCCUGAUGCAGCAACGCCGCGUGAGGGACGACGGCCUUCGGGUUGUAAACCUCUUUUAGCAGGGAAGAAGCGAAAGUGACGGUACCUGCAGAAAAAGCACCGGCUAACUACGUGCCAGCAGCCGCGGUAACAC